GGAGAAAUCAAAUCCUACAAAUGUACAAUAGAUAACGGAAAUUAAUUUACUUUUCAGUAUAGUUCGUUUACAUAUAUGAAGAAGGAAUUCCAAGAUGUCAACACCAUUUAUCUUUCGAUUUCUCAUUAUGUACAGAGAGAACAAGGUAUAUGCAUUAUGGACGUCACGUAGUUGUAUAAUGAAACGAAAGAGAGUGCGGGAGAAAAAUGGUUUCCGAAUACGAAGAAGUCAAACUAAACUGAUAGUGAUAUCACGUUUUCUUUCAUAUAAAAUGACUCAUGAUUGAAAAUCGUCUGGUUUACUCUGUUAUGUUUAACGAGUUUUGUAUUAUACUAUGCAGGAAUAAGACAGAAAGGAGAACCGAUAGAGAGAGAGUUUAAAUGUAUUUAUAUUAUAAAAAUAAAAAUGCAACAAAGGUACGGAAAGGUUACUGCAUAUAGCUUGAUUCUAGUUAUACGUUAUGUCAUAUGCUGACACACCUUAAAACAUGUCUGUCUUUGAGUUUGCUUUUUCAAGGAGCGAGAUAACUCGACUCCCGACUGAGUUACUCUUUAAUUGCUCUUCAGAUUGCGCUCAC